UACAUGGGGUGCAAAUGUUGCUCGGAAUUAUUGGGCGUAAAGCGCACGUAGGCGGUUUGUUAAGUCGGAUGUGAAAUCCCUCGGCUCAACUGAGGAAGUGCAUCCGAAACUGGCAAGCUUGAGUACGAAAGAGGGUCGCGGAAUUCCCGGUGUAGAGGUGAAAUUCGUAGAUAUCGGGAGGAACACCUGCGGCGAAGGCGGGGUUGCUGGGCCGACACUGACGCUGAUGCGCGAAAGCCAGGGGAGCGAACGGG
rnacentral:rRNA from 1 species